rnacentral:rRNA from 1 species
CCUACGGGUGGCAGCAGUGAGGAAUAUUGGUCAAUGGACGAGAGUCUGAACCAGCCAAGUAGCGUGAAGGAUGACUGCCCUAUGGGUUGUAAACUUCUUUUAUAUGGGAAUAAAAUGUUCCACGUGUGGGAUUUUGUAUGUACCAUAUGAAUAAGGAUCGGCUAACUCCGUGCCAGCAGCCGCGGUAAUACGGAGGAUCCGAGCGUUAUCCGGAUUUAUUGGGUGUAAAGGGAGCGUAGGUGGAUUGUUAAGUCAGUUGUGAAAGUUUGCGGCUCAACCGUAGAAUUGCAGUUGAAACUGGCAGUCUUGAGUACAGUAGAGGUGGGCGGAAUUCGUGGUGUAGCGGUGAAAUGCUUAGAUAUCACGAAGAACUCCGAUGGCGAAGGCAGUUCACUGGACUGCAACUGACACUGAGGCUCGAAAGUGUGGGUAUCAAACAGGAUUAGAUACCCCGGUAGUC